rnacentral:rRNA from 1 species
ACGGGGGAUUAGGGUUCGAUUCCGGAGAGGGAGCCUGAGAGACGGCUACCACAUCUAAGGAAGGCAGCAGGCGCGCAAAUUACCCAAUUCUAACAGCAUAAGAGAGGUAGUGACAAGAAAUAACAAUACAAGGCAGUUAAAAUGUUUUGUAAUUGGAAUGAUAGAAAUUUAAACACUUUUUAAAGUAUCAAUUGGAGGGCAAGUCUGGUGCCAGCAGCCGCGGUAAUUCCAGCUCCAAUAGCGUAUAUUAAAAUUGUUGCAGUUAAAAAGCUCGUAGUUGAAUUUCUGCUAAAAAAAGCCGGUCUGCUUUUAAUAAAAGUGGUAUCUUGGUGUGUUUUUAGCAAUAAUGUCUUUCGAAAUGUU